UACGGAGGGUGCGAGCGUUAAUCGGAAUUACUGGGCGUAAAGCGUGCGCAGGCGGCCCGUUAAGACAGGUGUGAAAUCCCUGGGCCCAACCUAGGAAUUGCGCUUGUGACUGGCGGGCUCGAGUACGGUAGAGGGGGGUGGAAUUCCUGGUGUAGCAGUGAAAUGCGUAGAGAUCAGGAGGAACACCGAUGGCGAAGGCAGCCCCCUGGGCCUGUACUGACGCUCAUGCACGAAAGCGUGGGGAGCAAACAGG
rnacentral:rRNA from 1 species